rnacentral:rRNA from 1 species
GAUGAACGCUGACAGAAUGCUUAACACAUGCAAGUCGAUGGGGAAGUGGUGCUUGCACCAUGGCAACCAUGGCGGACGGGUGAGUAACGCGUAAGGGACUUACCUGCAGGACUGGGAUAACAGGGGGAAACUCCUGACAAGACCGGAUAAUGUCAUGGAGCUGCAUGGCUUUAUGAUGAAAGGAGACGCCUGCGGAGAGCCUUGCGUCCUAUUAGCUAGUUGGUGAGGUAAUGGCUCACCAAGGCGAAGAUAGGUAGCCGGCCUGAGAGGGUGGACGGCCACAAGGGGACUGAGAUACGGCCCUUACUCCUACGGGAGGCAGCAGUGGGGAAUAUUGGACAAUGGGGGCAACCCUGAUCCAGCAAUUCUGUGUGUACGAAGAAGGUUUUCGGAGUGUAAAGUGCUUUCAGCAGGGAAGAAGUAAGUGACGGUACCUGCAGAAGAAGCGACGGCUAAAUACGUG